UUUAUAAAUACGUUUACUUGAAAAUACUACUACUGAAAAGUGACUUUUUCUUGCUCUGUUUCUACUUCUACGUCUACUUUCUAGUCUGUGCACUACUAAUAUACUCUCUGAGUCCUUUUUUUGCUGUUUUUAAGGUCUCUUUCGCCGUCUUUCUGAUUCGGCCGCGCCCCUGCCGCCCUGCUAAUAUCCGUAUCUUCUCUGAUUAUAAAUAUAAAAUCAACUGCAUUUAAGUCGACUUCGCAAUUAAUUGUAGUUUCAGAAAUAAUAUUUAUUUUGUUGCUGCAAUUAUUAUUCAGCUACAUUUAUAGUAUCUGUCAUAUUCUUGAAAUGGAGCAAUCUUCGAAACUUGUUUUGUUAUCUCUGCUUCACUAGUGGGUUUUUUUUCCUUCUUUCUCUCUUGCUCUGUUUUUUUCAGUAGUGCUCUGUUUUUUGUUUUCACUUCGAGGACACAAAACAUACAGAAUAAUAGCUAAGGAGGAGUCUUUUUUUUUUGCUUCAACAGAGAUCUAUCUGAGUUUCAAGAAAGAGAUAUCUCAAAAUCAAGAUCUGCUGAAAUUUCGACCUCUUCUCUUUAAAAUUAAAAUGUAUGCUGAAAAGCAAGCAGAGGAAGCUAUUGUUUCAAACUUCAAUGGAACUGAUCGUGAUGGGGAGGAAGUUGAGAAAUUAGGUGAAGAAGAUCAGUUUAUUUUCAGUGUCAAAAGCCUCUUCUGGCAUGGUGGCUCUGUUUGGGAUGCUUGGUUCAGCUGUGCUUCUAAUCAAGUUGCUCAAGUGCUGUUAACACUGCCAUAUUCAUUUUCUCAACUUGGUAUGGUAUCUGGCAUAGUGUUUCAAGUGUUCUAUGGUCUUGUUGGGAGCUGGACUGCAUACCUCAUCAGUGUUCUCUACAUAGAGUACAGAAGCAGAAAAGAGAAAGAAGGUGUCAACUUCAAAAAUCAUGUCAUUCAGUGGUUUGAAGUGCUUGAUGGACUAUUGGGUCCUUACUGGAAAGCAGCAGGCCUUGCCUUCAACUGUAUGUUCCUUCUGUUUGGAUCUGUCAUACAACUAAUUGCUUGCGCAAGUAACAUAUAUUACAUCAAUGACCAUUUAGACAAGAGAACAUAGACAUACAUAUUUGGAGCUUGCUGUGCCACCACAGUUUUCAUUCCUUCUUUCCAUAACUAUAGGAUUUGGUCUUUUCUUGGCCUUGGGAUGACCACUUAUACAACAUGGUACUUAACUAUUGCUGCUGUCAUUCAUGGCCAGGUAGAAAAUGUACAACACACAGCUCCAGCAAAGCUUGUGCUGUAUUUCACUGGUGCCACCAAUAUUCUUUACACCUUUGGUGGACAUGCUGUUACUGUGGAAAUUAUGCAUGCAAUGUGGAAACCCCAGAAGUUCAAGUACAUUUACCUAAUAGCCACACUCUACGUUUUCACCCUAACUAUUCCAUCAGCUUCAGCAGUCUACUGGGCUCGGAGAUCAACUUCUUAACCAUAGUAACGCAUUUUCACUUCUUCCAAAAAACAGAUGGCGCGAUGCUGCAGUUAUAUUGAUGCUAAUACACCAGUUUAUCACGUUUGGAUUCGCGUGUACGCCGUUAUACUUUGUGUGGGAGAAGGUUAUAGGGAUGCAUGACACUAAAAGCAUAUGCUUAAGGGCACUUGUUAGGUUGCCUGUGGUGAUACCCAUAUGGUUUUUGGCUAUUAUAUUCCCAUUCUUUGGGCCUAUUAACUCUGCUGUUGGGGCUCUUUUGGUUAGUUUCACUGUCUACAUCAUUCCAGCUCUUGCUCAUAUGCUCACUUAUAGAACAACCUCUGCUCGACAGAAUGCAGCAGAAAAGCCAUCAUCCUUCAUGCCAAGCUGGACUAUCAUGUAUGUUGUUAACAUUUUUAUAGUAGGCUGGGUUUUGGUUGUUGGGUUUGGGUUUGGUGGAUGGGCCAGUAUGAGUAAUUUCAUCAAACAAGUUGAUACAUUUGGCCUUUUUGCAAAAUGUUACCAAUGUAAACCUCCGGUGGGCCAGCCACCACAUCUGGCACCUCAGGCCACCAUGCACAACUAGGAAUACUGACUUGGAUCCACCACGCCAAUAUGUUGGAGAAGUCAACGAUCGAACUGUUCUUCAAAUAUUUUUGCAUGUAACCCAAAAUGUGUUAGUGUGUUAAUCUUCAUUUUCUUUUGUUUGUGUUUUGACUUUUUGUUCUCAUAUUAGAUAUGAUUAUUAACGUGUCGAAUUGCUGACUAAUUGGCUAUCAAAGGAUUAGCUAAUUAUUUGAAUCAACAUGUGCUAAUGUUAAUUAGUUCUUUUGUUCAA